rnacentral:rRNA from 1 species
UACGUAGGGGGCGAGCGUUGUCCGGAAUCAUUGGGCGUAAAGAGCACGUAGGCGGUCCUGUAAGUCGGAUGUGAAAUCUCUGGGCUCAACCCGGAAACUGCAUUCGAAACUGCGGGACUUGAGGAAGGUAGAGGAGAGUGGAAUUUCCGGUGUAGCGGUGGAAUGCGCAGAGAUCGGAAGGAACACCAGUUGCGAAGGCGGCUCUCUGGGCCUUUCCUGACGCUGAGGUGCGAAAGCGUGGGGAGCGAACAGG